UAUCGGUAGAGACUGGACUUUUAGGAAGCUAAAAAUCUUAUUUGGUGUCAAAAACGCUAACGUCAUUUGGUUCCGACUUAUAAACAAAAGUUGACAUUUUAGCGAAAUCUUAAAAAAAUCAUAUCUUUCUUAUUAUUAUAAUAAUGUUUAUUAACGGCCACGCCAAGUACAGGUGGUAUAUAAAAUACAAAGAUAAAUUGAUAUAUAAAAUACAAACACAGAUAGGUACAAUACAGUUAAUAUAAAAUAAAGUGUUAAUUAUUAAAAGAGCUAAGUUCACUAUGUUCAAUAACAGUUUUUAAAUCUUUUAGAAAUCUAUUUUUAGACAGCCUAGAAGAUACAGAAUUUUUCCCAUAAUUGGUACGGUGGUAAGGCACUACAAGCAUUCUAGGCUCUCUGACGUUACAAACGGGUAUAUUUAUUGAAAAUAGCGGAAGAAUAGGAUUACAAUUUACAUUACCAGACAAUAUACGAAAUACGAACGACGCGUCAUAAAAUAUUCUACGAAAAGAUAGUAAGGAUAGUCCUAAAUAACUUAAAAUGUUUAUAUAAUUAUUUUUGUCAUAAAAUAUGUUAAAUUUGUAACAUACAAUUUUAACAAAUUUUUUCUAAACAUUUUCAAUUCGAUUAAUAUGAACAUUAUAACAAGGUUGCCAAAUAAUUGUGCAGUAUUCCAAAAUUGGACGAACAUAACAAUUAUAUAAUAACAUUACAACACGCAAACUUGAAAAAUCAGAGCACUGUCUUUUUAUAAAUCCUAAUGUUUUGUUUGCUUUCGACAAAAUGUGGUUAACGUGAUAGUCAAAACUUAACUGGCUGUCUACAAUAACUCCUAAAUCGCGAAUAUGAGUGACACAUUCAAGUUGAUUGCCUGAUAUAAAGUAAGAUGGUAAAUUGUAAUAUAAUUUUCUAGAAAAUCUUAGUGAUUUACAUUUAUUUGUGUUCAGUUCUAAAAAAUUUUUUUACACCACAUACAAAAACUAUUUAAAUCACGUUGUAAUAUAUCACAGUCGUUUGGAUUUAUAAUAACUUUAAAAAUCUUUACAUCGUCGGCAAAAAGAAGGAUUUCAGAGCUUUCGAUCGCUGUUUUGACAUCAUUUAUAUAUAGAGAAAAAAGAAUAGGGCCUAGAUGUGACCCCUGAGGCACACCUGUGGAUGGGUGAAUUGCGCGAGACUUAACACCAUUUAUAGUUACAUACUGUACACGAUUAGAUAAAAAAGAAUAAAUCCAACUAAGGACUGGAUCCCCAAAACCUAAAUUAUCUAAUUUUGAUAUUAAUAACUCAAUGGAAAUGCGAUCAAAAGCUUUUGACAUAUCAGUAUAUAUACAAUCAAUUUGGAAUCCAUUUUCAAGAUUUGACGUUAUAUAUUCAGUAAACAGAAAAAGAUUGGUCAUCGUAGAGCGACCCUUGAAAAAACCAUGUUGUUCUUCAAUAACAGAUUGUUUUACAGAAAAUGAUAUAAUGUCAGCCAUAAUGGAGUCAAAAACCUUUGAUAUAUACGAUGGGGUACAUAUCGGUCUAUAGUUGGAAAUAUUUACUUGACUACCAUUUUUAAAGACAGGUCUGAUGUAUGAGAUUUUCCAAAUAUCCGGAAAUUGAGACUGAUCAAGAGAUUUAUUGAACAGCAUUUGUAAUGGCAAUGUUAAUUCAUAAGCACAAUUUAUAAAAGAUGCACAUUUGAAACAAAGACAUUAUCAGGCACUUUUUUACAGAGAAUUUAAUAAUGUUAUCAGCGAUUUUUUUAACCUUUCGUUUAGCUGUAAUAACAUAAAAGUAUAUUUUUUUUAAAUAAUAAUCUUAGUCGGCUGUGAUAUUUUUGAAAAGCUUAUUUUUUUCUGAUUUGAUAUGUCUUUCUGUAAUACAUUCUUUUUAAAUAUUUAAAAACAUAUAAUAUUUUUUUCUUUAUAGUAGGCCAUGAAAACAUUUUGGAUUUCCGAUUAAAACUAUGUAUUAUGUUUUUCUCUAAACCUUUUAGUUUUGGAGAUCUUCUAUUCGGACAUCUCAUGUGCAGCACCCUAUAGAAGGUAUUAAAAUCUGGUAAUUUCCUACUACAGGAAAAAUAACGUAAUUUUUAUUGCAAUAAAUUUAAUUACAAAACAAAUCAAUAACACGAACACGUUUCGUCAAAAACUUAUAAUUAUUAUCUAUUACACAAAAAGCUAUAAAAAAGUUAAUUACUGAAUGGAAAUACAUAUUAGCAACUCUGCAUUAUCAAUAUUUUUUCAUUCACCUAACAUUUUUACGAGUAUUUUCCGUAGAUUUUUAUUUUCAGAUUUUUUUGUAUAGUUUGUCACUAACUAAAUCUUCCACAACUCCUGGAGUACAUUUUACAAAAAUUUACACUUUAUUCACGAGUUUAAUUAAUGUAAUAUAUAAAUUAUCAAUAUAAAAUAUAAAUAAAAUAAUAAUUUAAUAUAGAAUUAAAUUAUGCAUAUUUCUAAAAAUUAAAAGUUCAAAAUUGAAAAAACUAUAGAAAUGGAAAAGAGAUUCACUAGUAAAUUGAAGCAUUAGAUUCUGAAUAAAAAACCAAUUCACUAAGAGACUGAAAAGAUAAAAAAUUAACUGGAAAAAAUAUUUUUUUUUAAAUUAGGAAAGGUAAACACAACUGUGGGGUGAGGCUACAGUUCAAUUUAGGAAUUUGGGAAAAAUAAAAUGGGAAAAAAAUUCGAGUUUUAAUAAAAACUCUUAAAAAUCGCGCGUUAGCAAAGUUUUCUAAAAUUUGGUCUCUAAUUAUCGAUGGUGGAGGUGGUGAGUUUUUUGGAUUGUUUGGG